AACGCUGGCGGCGUGCCUAACACAUGCAAGUCGAACGAAGCUUGACGGAUGAUUUCUUCGGAAUGAAACCUGAUAUGACUUAGUGGCGGACGGGUGAGUAACGCGUGAGCAACCUGCCUUUCAGAGGGGGAUAACAUUUGGAAACAGAUGCUAAUACCGCAUAAGAUUACAGUACCGCAUGAUACAGUGAUCAAAGGAGCAAUCCGCUGAAAGAUGGGCUCGCGUCCGAUUAGAUAGUUGGUGAGGUAACGGCUCACCAAGUCGACGAUCAGUAGCCGGACUGAGAGGUUGAACGGCCACAUUGGGACUGAGACACGGCCCAGACUCCUACGGGAGGCAGCAGUGGGGAAUAUUGCACAAUGGGGGAAACCCUGAUGCAGCGACGCCGCGUGAGCGAAGAAGUAUUUCGGUAUGUAAAGCUCUAUCAGCAGGGAAGAAGAAAUGACGGUACCUGACUAAGAAGCACCGGCUAAAUACGUG
rnacentral:rRNA from 1 species